rnacentral:lncRNA from 1 species
UAUAGAACACGAAUGUAUUAUUGGAAACUACGUACGUACGUACUUACACACACACAUAUAUAUAUUACGACUAAUUAAAGUAAUUCAAAAAGGAUAAGAUAUUACUUAAUUACAUAUAUUAAAUGGAGGAAGUUGGCCAAAAGAAAAAGUAAAGAAACUAAUUUUAUAUUUUUAAAAUUUAUACUUUUCAAAAAAAAAAAAAAAAAAAAACAACAUGCACACUUCUCCCGACGAACUUUCGUCGGCAAAGA